CCUACGGGUGGCAGCAGUGAGGAAUAUUGGUCAAUGGGCGCGAGCCUGAACCAGCCAAGUCGCGUGAGGGAAGACGGUCCUAUGGAUUGUAAACCUCUUUUGUCGGGGAGCAAAAGACGCCACGCGUGGCGUUCCGAGAGUACCCGAAGAAAAAGCAUCGGCAAACUCCGUGCCAGCAGCCGCGGUAAUACGGGGGAUGCGAGCGUUAUCCGGAUUUAUUGGGUUAAAAGGGGGCGCAGGCGGAAGAUCAAGUCAGCGGUAAAAGUGAGAGGCUCAACCUCUUCGAGCCGUUGAAACUGGUUUUCUUGAGUGAGCGAGAAGGAUGCGGAAUGCGUGGUGUAGCGGUGAAAUGCAUAGAUAGCGCGCAGAACUCCGAUUGCGAAGGCAGGAUACCGGCGCUCAACUGACGCUCAUGCACGAAAGUGAGGGUAGCGAACGGGAUUAGAUACCCGAGUAGUC
rnacentral:rRNA from 1 species